UAACAGGUAAGAAGUACCAGAGUAAGAAAUUGUGCCCUCUGUUCCAUGAAGAUUCCUCUAAUUAGGAUGUCCACCUGGAAUGAGGGAAGUCCAUUCAAAAACAGAUUUCACCCAUUUCAGAGCAGGAGUUGAACCACUGCUUUGGGAACAUGUCUUAGUGUUGUCAGUGGAAGGGGAGCCUAUGGCCAGAGUGACGCCAAGAGUCAAAACAGGAGCAGCGUCAAGAUGGGAGAGUGAACAGUGA
rnacentral:lncRNA from 12 species